ensembl:lncRNA
GCUCAGUUCAGUUUAAAUAGUAUCUGAAUAAUAAUUUGCAAUCAAGUCAACGAUAUCGCUGUAAAUGAAGUGUCCCCAACUAAGCAAGCCAGAGGCGACAGCGGCAAGGAACCAAAACUCCAUCUGUGACAGAAUGGAGAAAAAACCUUGGGAGAAACCAGGCUCAGUCAGGGGGCUAGUUCUCCUCUGACCGGACGAAACCAGCAGUGCAAUUCCAGGUGGUCGUCUGAGACAAGGGGGAUCUGUCUCUGGGGCUCUAGUUGUCCUGGUCUCCGCUGUCUUUCAGGGCUGUAGAGGUCCUCUCUAGGUGCUGAUCCACCAUCUGGGCUGGAUACGUACUGGAUCCGGGUGACUGCAGUGACCCUCUGACUUGGAUACAGACUGGAUCUGGUGGCUACGGUGACCUCGGAAUAAGAGAGAAACAGACUAAUAUUAGCGUAGAUGCCAUUCUUCUAACGAUGUAACAAGUACAUCGGGUGUUAUGGGAAGUGUUCCCGGUUCAGGUUUACCUAAUUAUUGCAGCCUAAAUAUCCUUUAACGGAUUUGGAUAUUAGAAGCGUAUUAGUGUGCUAUGUGUAAACCAGGUUAAAGAGAUGGGUCUUUAAUCUAGAUUUAAACUGCAAGAGUGUGUCUGCCUCCCGAACAAUGUUAGGUAGGUUAUUCCAGAGUUUGGGCGCUAAAUAGGAAAAUGAUCUGCCGCCCGCAGUUGACUUUGAUAUUCUAGGUAUUAUCAAAUGGCCAUUGCAGCAGAUGUGAAGGACUACAAUACGAUAUGAGCUCGCUCAAGUACUGAGGAGCUAAACCAUUCAGGGCUUUAUAAGUAAUUACAAAAACACAGUAUAACACAUUUUAAAAUGUAUUUGUUGUUCAAUAGGGAGCAAGUGCAGAGUUGACAGAACCAGGCUAAUAUGUUCAUACUUCAUCGUUCUAGUAAGAACUCUCGCUGCUGCAUUUUGGACCAGCUGGAGUUUAAGCGUGCAGAGCAACCACCCAAUAAAGCAUUACAAUAAUCUAGAAACAUGGUUUUCAAAGGAAAGAUUGCUAUCAAAUAGUACACCUAGAUUGCUAACUGAUUAUGAAGAAUUGACAGAGCAGCCAUCAAGUGUUAGACUGUGUUUUUGUUUAUUACAUGCAGAGGUUUUUGGUUCAAUAAUUAACACCUCUGUUUUUUCAGAACUUAGCCGUAGGAAAUUACAGUCAUCCAGUUCCUCUUCAGGAACUCGAGCUGCGUCAAACGCUUUGGGGAACACGUCUAGCGUGAGCGACUCUGAAUAUCGUGUGUAAUCAGUUCAAUGAAAGAGCGUGACGUCACGGGCGGGGUGACGUAAGUGACCAGGAAGCUAUAAAAGCACAUGCCGCGCAGCUGGCAUCAGCUUCGCGUCUUCAGCAAGCGCUCUGUGUGUGAAUGUCCUCAGUUUGUCUUGUGAGUCUUAUUUACUGUUGUCUGUCCAGUAGCUCCAAGUCAUGUCUAAGAGCAAGGCGAAAACAAAGCAUACUAGAGGCGAAUCCGGAUCGCGUUUCAGACUGUGUGUCCCUCCCUGCCCGCGCUACAUAACGAGUGGGGAUACACACAGUCUGUGCGUGGUCAUUCUCAGCCCGCCUGUACAUCCCCUCUUCAGAUUACUACGGCAAUGUAGUGGGGAUGGCAGAGCGCUGCUACAGGGCGAUGCCCCGGGUGGAGAGGCAUUUAUGGCUGACCCUGUCCGAAAUGAAAGAGCGGGACAGGGUCUGCCUUAUGGACGCCCCGAUCCAGCCUUCUGGCCUGUUCGGCGACGCAGUCAACACUGUCGUCGACAGGUUUCAGGAGGCUCGCAAACAGGCGGCGGCGUUCCAUAAAUUCCUCCCUCGUCGCUCCCUCGGGGCAUCUGGGCAGGAGAUGCCCCAGCCGCACCCUAGCUCCUCACACCGAGAGGCUCAAAAACAGAGCGUCGCCUCUCUCUCAGCGACGCUCUCGGCCGAGGUCUUCGAGGCCCAAACAAGAUUUAAGGGCGGUUAUCGAUGCUAAGAAGGCCUCGG